rnacentral:rRNA from 1 species
AUGGUUCUUACAUCACACACAGCACCCUCGUGUUGGGCUUCGAGCAUAGGUACUGGGCAGCCCACGGAUGUGUUUCAUAUAAUAAAAUCCAGCAAAAACAUUAUGCCCCUAUGGGGAUUCGAACUGGAGAACGCCACUAAUCCACAAGGGCCCUCGAGAGAGUUCUUGUUGAGAGUCGCAGCGAGGCCACCUGAUCCCGCCCGAUCCCCAAUCUCCGACGGCGGCUAUGCUGGCCGGAAGAGAGGAGGGAGAGGUGCGUGGAGCUUUGUAUAUAAUCCAGCUAGUUCUUGGUUGAGUCUUCCCGUAGUGGAGUCUGGCGUUAUGCCGUGGCGUAGCGCGCCGCCGGCGCACGCGAGCUGCGCCCGGUGGCUAGCGGUGUCGUUCAUCAUGGUUGUGGCGGUGAGGUGCUGCGUGCAAUCGGAGAGAGCGACGCCGGCGACUCCUUCAAUAAGCUCGUCGUCUUCUCUGUGUUGGUGGGGGGCGGCUGCUUGUCUCCUUCCUCUGUUGCCGCCAUGGAGACGGAUGGAGCGAGGAUGA